rnacentral:lncRNA from 1 species
GGAUGUGAGGGCGAUCUGGUUGCGACAUCUGUCACCCCAUUGAUCGCCAGGGUUGAUUCGGCUGAUCUGGCUGGCUAGGCGGGUGUCCCCUUCCUCCCUCACCGCUCCAUGUGCGUCCCUCCCGAAGCUGCGCGCUCGGUCGAAGAGGACGACCAUCCCCGAUAGAGGAGGACCGGUCUUCGGUCAAGGGUAUACGAGUAGCUGCGCUCCCCUGCUAGAACCUCCAAACAAGCUCUC